CGCCUGUUUAUUAAAAACAUGGUUUUUAUAAUUUAUUAAAAAUUGAACCUGCCCAAUGAUUUUUAAUUUAAUGGCCGCAGAAUUUAACUGUGCUAAGGUAGCAUAAUCAUUUGAUUUUUAAUUGAGAUCUGGAAUGAAUGGUUUGAUGAAAUAUGAGCUUUUUUAAUAUAAAUUUUUGAAAUUUAUUUUUUAGUUAAAAAGCUAAAGUUAUUUAAUGGGACGAGAAGACCCUAUAGAAUUUAAUAAUUAAAUUUUUUUUAUUAAUUUUAAUUUAUUAAUUAAAAGUUUAUUUAUUUGGUUGGGGAGAUUAAUAAAUUUAUUUAACUUUUUAAUUUAAAUUCAUUGAUUAAUGUAUUUAUGAUCUUUUUUUAAGGAUUAAAAAAUUAAAUUACCUUAGGGAUAACAGCAUAAUGAUUUUAUAAAGUUCUUAUUUUUAAAAUAGUUUAUGACCUCGAUGUUGGAUUAAAAAAAUUUUUAUAUGAAGAAAUAUAGAUAAUAAGUCUGUUCGACUUUUAAA
rnacentral:rRNA from 1 species